rnacentral:rRNA from 1 species
AUUGAACGCUAGCGGGAUGCCUUACACAUGCAAGUCGAACGAGUGGCGGACGGGUGAGUAAUAUAUCGGAACGUGCCUAGUGGCGGGGGAUAACUACUCGAAAGGGUUGCUAAUACCGCAUACCAUCGGAUCUGCCGAUAUGGGAUUAGCUAGUGGGUGGGGUAAAGGCUCACCAAGGCAACGAUCUGUAGCUGGUUUGAGAGGAUGACCAGCCACACUGGGACUGAGACACGGCCCAGACUCCUACGGGAGGCAGCAGUGGGGAAUAUUGCACAAUGGGGGAAACCCUGAUCCAGCCAUGCCGCGUGUAUGAGAAGGCCUUCGGGUUGUAAAGUACUUUUGGCAGAGAGGCGGUAUCUGCAGAAUAAGCACCGGCUAACUCCGUGCCAGCAGCCGCGGUAAUAC